CCCACCGUUGCAGAAGAGUGGCGCCGGCCUGCGGCCGAUGCCCGCCGAAGGCGCAGGCUCCCAUAAUCGCUCAGGCUCGGCCUUUCAUCGGCCGGAACACUGCAACGA
rnacentral:ncRNA from 1 species